UACGUAGGCAGCAAGCGUUGUUCGGAGUUACUGGGCGUAAAGGGUGUGUAGGCGGUUGUUUAAGUUUGGUGUGAAAUCUCCCGGCUCAACUGGGAGGGUGCGCCGAAUACUGAAUGACUAGAGUGCGGGGAGAGGGAAAGUGGAAUUCCUGGUGUAGCGGUGAAAUGCGUAGAUAUCAGGAGGAACACCGGUGGUGUAGACGGCUUCUGGACCGUAACUGACGCUGAGACACGAAAGCGUGGGUAGCAAACAGG
rnacentral:rRNA from 1 species